AGAGUUUGAUCCUGGCUCAGAUUGAACGCUGGCGGCAUGCCUUACACAUGCAAGUCGAACGGCAGCACGGGAGCAAUCCUGGUGGCGAGUGGCGAACGGGUGAGUAAUACAUCGGAACGUGUCCUGUAGUGGGGGAUAGCCCGGCGAAAGCCGGAUUAAUACCGCAUACGCUCUACGGAGGAAAGGGGGGGAUCUUAGGACCUCCCACUACAGGGGCGGCCGAUGGCAGAUUAGCUAGUUGGUGGGGUAAAGGCCUACCAAGGCGACGAUCUGUAGCUGGUCUGAGAGGACGACCAGCCACACUGGGACUGAGACACGGCCCAGACUCCUACGGGAGGCAGCAGUGGGGAAUUUUGGACAAUGGGGGAAACCCUGAUCCAGCAAUGCCGCGUGUGUGAAGAAGGCCUUCGGGUUG
rnacentral:rRNA from 1 species